rfam:Triticum aestivum genome assembly, contig: Triticum_aestivum_CS42_TGACv1_scaffold_593513_7BS
CUUAUACUCCCUCCGUCCGGAAAUAGUUGUCAUCAAAAUGGACAAAAAAGGAUAUAUCUAGAACUAGAACUAAAAUACAUCUAGAUACAUCCCAUUUUAUUCAUUUUGAUGACAAAUAUUUCCGGACGGAGGGAGUACACG